AUGGGGAUCACGAUCUCGUCGCUGCGGCGCCGCCUUCAGCAGGCACGCGAUCUGCUCUUGCAGAUUCCAUGGAGCAAGACGCCGCCGGUCACCUUGCCGAGCGACGUCAUCUUUGACAUCCUCUCCAGGGUCCCGGCCAAGUCCAUGUGCCGGUUCCGGUGCGUGUCCAGGGAGUGCCGUGACCUCAUCUCCGACCCCGUCUUCAUCGCCGCCGCGCAGAAGCGCCGCCCGCCAGAGCCGUUUCUCGUCGUCGGCUCCGACCGCGACAUGUCACUUCGCCUGGUUGAUAUGGACGGCACCGUCGUGAGGUUGAUCGGUGGCAUGAACAGGCGUUGGAUACCGGUGUCCACGAGUCCUGACGGCUCCGUGUGCGUCACAACCGGCUUUUCCAAGGACGACAACCUCGCCGGGGUGAUCGACCUCACCACCAUGAAGAUGCCUGUCACCCACCUGAAAAGCGACAGAGCCUGGGGAUACGGUCGCGCCGUCCCAUCCGGCGCUUACAAGAUGGUGCGUCUCGGAUUCCACCACUGCGAGGUCUUAACUGUAGGAGAUGAUGAAGGGUGGAGGCGGAGGAAAUGUCCCCCGUUCCGUUUCGACGGCUCCAGUCAUGACAACUACACUGCAGCCGUCAACGGUAUGCUGCACUUCUUGCCGGUGGUGCUACCUGACGAGGAGGGCACCCUACUCUGCUUUGACCUCGAGAGCGAGGAGUGGAAGUGCGGGAUCAAAGGCCCGCCCAAGGUGAAACUUGGACGGCUCAAUAUCAGAUUAGGAAUAUCGGCGGCAGCGAUCUUAUCGCCCGCGAUCUCGUCCGAGAGCGCGCGCGGCACCGUCGUCAACCUCCAGCGCUCGCAGGAAAUGGCGGACGAUGAGUUAACUGAUAUGAUGUAUGACAUGGAGUUUGGAGAACUGAUGAAAGACGGGAUAGAAGAUUGGUCAGAUGAUGAAAAUUCAGAUCAUGGAGAUAGGUCAGAGAAUGGGAACGUAUUGGAAGAUCUUAAUAUGGAUGAACAUGAUGAUGGUCAGGAAAACAAUGAGCAUGAUGAUGGUGAGGAAAACAACUCGGAGAUCUCGAAUGAAGAUUACAUUAGUCGGCUCAUUUCCGAAUGUCAUAAUGCGUACGACUAUUACGGUGAAUCCGACGUGGAGACAGGCCUUGAUGUCGAAUCAUUAGCUGCACCUGAUUCUGGGGAGUCGCAAUCGUCGGUCAUCAUGAACGAUGGUGAAGGUAACAUAGGUGAAGUUCAUGAUCCUAUUAAAGUAUCAACGAAAGGUGCAACUAAGGUAGAUGAGAACCGCCCUAUGUCGAAAAAUGGUAGGCCACUUUCGUACGACGAGAUCAGAAUCAGAAGCGUGGAAGAAGUGAAAUGUAACUAUGUGGAAUGGGUAGACCCGGAGUGGUCAGUGGCUACGAAGUUCUGCCUGAGAGAACUGUGGAGCAUGUAUGACGAGAAGCUGAGACAGAAUAUUAAGAAUGCUGAAGAAAAAUGCAUGUUAAUUGGAGAAAAGAGGAGGACGGAGGAAGAGCUGAGAUUUUUCAAAAUGGACUUUGCUAAACUGGUGGCUGAUAAGGAGGAUGCUCCCACGCAGUUGGGCAAUGCAAGAUUGUCACUUAGCGAUCUCAAAGAGGAGCUGGAGAAGAAUAAGAUGGCAGACCAUGGUUGUGCCAAUCUACAUCAGGUCUUGAGGGUAAAGGCUGAGAAAGACCGGGAUCGGGUGGUGCUAGAGAGAGACCAAGUGAUGAGAGAGAGGGACCAGCUGAAGCAAGAGAAGAAAAAACUUGAGUAUAUUAUUGCAGAUUUUCUCAAACUGAAACAUGGGUACGUUGAUAAGAUCAAGAAGCUGAAGGAGAUUUGUGAUGAAUUUUAA
rnacentral:rRNA from 1 species